GACGAACGCUGGCGGCGUGCUUAACACAUGCAAGUCGAACGGAAAGGCCCUGCUUUUGUGGGGUGCUCGAGUGGCGUACGGGUGAGUAACACGUGAGUAACCUGCCCUUGACUUUGGGAUAACUUCAGGAAACUGGGGCUAAUACCGGAUAGGAGCUCCUGCUGCAUGGUGGGGGUUGGAAAGUUUCGGCGGUUGGGGAUGGACUCGCGGCUUAUCAGCUUGUUGGUGGGGUAGUGGCUUACCAAGGCUUUGACGGGUAGCCGGCCUGAGAGGGAGACCGGCCACAUUGGGCUUGGGGUGGGACCAGGACUCCUCCGGGAGGCAGGGGCGGGAAAUUGUCCAAAAAGGGCCGAGGCCUGGAUGAACGACGCCGGGUGGGGAAAGACUGCUUUUGGGUAGGAACCCGUUUUUGCGUGGAUAUGCGCGUGAGGACCGGAACUGGUCAAAAAGCCACGGCUAACUUAGUG
rnacentral:rRNA from 1 species